ACUGAUUUACGAAACCGGUUUAAAUGCUUAUCUCAAAGAUUAAGCCAUGCAUGUCUAAGUACACGAUUUUAUAUAUCGAAACCGCGGAUGGCUCAUUAUAACAGCUAUGAUUUGAGAGAUAUUAUCAUUUGCCAUAAGAUAACUGUGGUAAUUCUAGAGCUAAUAUUUUAUAGAAUGCCAUGUUUUACGCAGUGACAGAUUUAUUAGAUCAAAACUAACCUGUCCUAGACAGUUAUUUGAUGACUCUGGAUAACUUUACUGAUCGUACGACCUCUGUGUUGACGACGAAUCUCUUGAAAUGGCUGACCUAUCAACUUUCGAUGGUAAGAUCAAAGCUUACCAUGGUUGUAACGGGUAACGGGGAAUUAGUGUUCGAUUCCGGAGAGGGAGCCUGAGAAACGGCUACCACAUCCACGGAAGGCAGCAGGCGCGAAAAUUACCCAAUGCCGGUUCGGCGAGGUAGUGACAAUAAAUAACAAUAUGGAUUUUAGGGGUUCCAUAAAUGCAAUGAGAUUAUUUUAAUUACUUUUUCAAGUAUCAAUUGGAGGGCAAGUCUGGUGCCAGCAGCCGCGGUAAUUCCAGCUCCAAAAGCGUAUAUUAAAGUUGUUGCAGUUAAAAAGCUCGUAGUUGAAAUUGAGGUAGAUGUAAUUUGAAAUCUUAUGAUUGAUUAUUACUAUACCUUUUCUUCGUGUAUAUUAGUGAGGGACUUAAUUGGUAACUAUUUUACUGCUAGUGUACAAUGUACAUUUCCACACUUGAAUAUUUUUAUGUGUUUUCUGUAAUAUUAUACGGUUAAUUCGAGAGUUUUUCACGCUUUUUGAAACAUUGUUUGUUUGAGGACCUGUUUUAAAGGAAAGACCUGAGAUGUACAAAUUUUGGAAAAUCUUGUUAUUAUUUUCAUUUAUUUCAUCUAUUAUAUUAUUACUUUCCUCUA
rnacentral:rRNA from 1 species